rnacentral:lncRNA from 1 species
GGUGGAUGCGGCCUCGAUUAGCGGGGGAACCACAUGAAAAAAAGCGAGCUACUGGGUGUACCUCCUGGGUAGUUUGGAAAUCACCUAAGAUAUAUAUGUAUAUAUUUAUAAAUAAAAGUUAAUAUAUAUAAAUUAACAUUAAUUUUUUUUAACAGGAAAUGCACAAUGCUAAAAACUGCGUAGGAGAUUUUAAUACAAUAGUACUACCAAGCCUGAUGUUGGCCGCUAUUUCAAUGAAUGCAGCAGUGUCACAGCUAGCAAUCAAAAGUAACAAGAUAUUGAGGAAAUGCAGAUGGCAAUAAACUGUGUAGGAGUUCAUGAUUGCAAUAGAAUAAAAUCGACCAAGCCUGAAGUCAGCAGCCCCUUCAAUGAAUGCAGCAGUGUGACAGCCAGCAAUCAAAAGUUACAAGAUAUCGAGGAAAUGCAGAUGGCAAUAAACUGUGUAGGAGUUUAUGAUUGCAAUAGAAUAAAAUCGACCAAGCCUGAAGUCAGCAGCCCCUUCAAUGAAUGCAGCAGUGUGACAGCCAACAAUCAAAAGUUACAAGAUAUCGAGGAAAUGCAGAAGGCAAAAAACUGCGUAGGAGAUCAUUAAUACAAAAGUAUUAUAUAAACCAAACCUGAUGUUGCCAGCUCCUUCAAUGAAUGCAGCAGUGUGACAGCCAGCAAUCAAAAGUAACAAGAUAUCGAGGAAAUGCAGAAGGCAAAAAACUGCAUAGGAGAUCAUUAAUACAAUAGUAUUAUAUAAACCAAGCCUGAUGUUGGCCGCUCAUUCAAAGAAUGCAGCAGUGUGACAGCCAGCAAUCAAAAGUAACAAGAUGUCGAGGAAAUGCAGAGUGCAAUAAACUUUGUAGGAGAUUAUGAUUGCAAUAGAAUAAAAUCGACCAAGCCUGAAGUUCUUCAAUGCACGCAGCAGUGUGACAGCCAGCAAUCAAAAGUUACAAGAUAUCGAGGAAAUGCAGAAGGCAAAAAACUGCGUAGGAGAUUAUUAAUACAAUAGUAUUAUAUCAACCAAGCCUGAUGUCGGUAGCUUCUUCAAUGAAUGCAGCAGUGUGACAGCCAGCAAUCAAUAGUGAUAGUGACAAGAAUCUAGGAAAUACAGAAGGCAAAGAAGCAGAUGUCAUCAAAGAAGAUCUUUGUUCCUGCAAUGUUUCCGCAGACGAUACAUCCAACAGAGCGAAGUGGAAGGAAAAGACUCGGAAAAAAGACCCCACCACCAUAUGGGAACAAUGCAAGGGAGAGAGAGAGAAUAUAAUUUUAUAUUUUUAUUUUUUGAUAACAUAAAAUAAACCAACAAUAUCCUACACAUUUUUUUUAUUUCUUUUUGUGUCUGUCUUAAUAGUUAUUACAAAUCUGUGAUGCGAAACAAAC